GUCGCUAGUUGGGAAAUCGUUGAUAGUUCUCGUAACUGUUACGAGAGACAGCGUUUACGAGAGAGUUUAGUAAAUCCGGCCCUGUUGCGACAGUAUUUUCUAUCGUUACGCAUCGUAGGCCUUUAUUUCCUAUAAGAACGACUCAAGCGACCAAUCAGCGUAAACCUCGGAAUUUUCGACCAAUCACAGCAGUUCUCCCUCAAAACAUAAACAAUGGAGGCCUCACAAGAUCCGGGGAAAAACGUCGCCCUAAUUUUUCUAAUGAAGAGCUGCACGCUAUGGUGAAGUACAGAAGAGGCAGAGGGUUAAUGAGGGCUCAUUUUCAUCGACGGUGACUAGUAAGGUGAAGAAGGCGGCCUGGAACAGCGUAGCAGAAAGGGUUGACGCUGUCAGCACCUCGCAAAGGACUGCCGGUGAAGUCAAGCAAGUUGACCGUCUUCAAGUCUGCCACGAAGAAAAAACUGGCAAAGAGGAAUGAAGAACGAACGAAAACUGAUAUUCACAGGGGCUGAAACGAAGGAAAACUGGCUAUUAAUUUCGAGCGAAAACUUCCAGGAAUUUUUGACAGACAUUUACCUGCCACUCGAUAACCAGGUCAAAAUCGCUAACUUCAGCGACAGGGACGACUCAGCGACCCUGUGGGAGGUCUAGCAAAUCGGCGAGAAUUUCGACCAGCACCUGACUCCCGUAGGUCGCUGGACCCUCGCGACCCAAGAUCCAAACGACGACUCCAGUGACGACUCCGGGGCCUUCAGGAGACAUGGCUCUGCACCUCCAGCCUCCUGGGGGGUUGCCAUACCCGCGGGUGUUGGUGUGAGUGUGAAGGUUCUGAAUCAUGGGGUUCUGGAGGGACCUGUUGACGACCCCAUGUUCCGGAGGUCGGACCUGACUGGACUGCCUAUCACGUGCACUAGCAUCGGUUACAAACCUCUGUCCAUUAUCACCCGCCAAGCCAACGGUACCGUGCAUGUAGGUGGUGUUAUGGGGAAAAUCUUCGACAUGUUU